rnacentral:ncRNA from 2 species
CGUUAUCGACACGGGAGUCCGGAGGUCCGCCGGGCUGAGAGUGCGCUGCGCCGGCGCUGACCGUCACACCUGAUCCGGGUCAUGCCGGCGAAGGAAGGCUGACGUCAUGUCUGG